GCCUGUGUGGCCUAGUGGUUGGAGCGUUGGACGCAUGGCUCUGGAGACCGGGGUUCGAAUCCCAGCUUGGCCA